rnacentral:rRNA from 1 species
AUUGAACGCUGGCGGCAGGCCUAACACAUGCAAGUCGAGCGGAUGAAGGGAGCUUGCUCCUGGAUCCAGCGGCGGACGGGUGAGUAAUGCCUAGGAAUCUGCCUGGUAGUGGGGGAUAAUGUCCGGAAACGGGCGCUAAUACCGCAUACGUCCUGAGGGAGAAAGUGGGGGAUCUUCGGACCUCACGCUAUCAGAUGAGCCUAGGUCGGAUUAGCUAGUUGGUGGGGUAAAGGCCUACCAAGGCGACGAUCCGUAACUGGUCUGAGAGGAUGAUCAGUCACACUGGAACUGAGACACGGUCCAGACUCCUACGGGAGGCAGCAGUGGGGAAUAUUGGACAAUGGGCGAAAGCCUGAUCCAGCCAUGCCGCGUGUGUGAAGAAGGUCUUCGGAUUGUAAAGCACUUUAAGUUGGGAGGAAGGGCAGUAAGUUAAUACCUUGCUGUUUUGACGUUACCAACAGAAUAAGCACCGGCUAACUUCGUG